UACGUAGGGGGCAAGCGUUGUCCGGAAUUAUUGGGCGUAAAGAGCGCGUAGGCGGUCCGGUAAGUCGGUUGUGAAAGUCGGGGGCUCAACCCUCGAAUGCCGGUGGAUACUGUCGGGCUUGAGUGCGGGAGAGGCGAGUGGAAUUCCUGGUGUAGCGGUGAAAUGCGCAGAUAUCAGGAGGAACACCGAUUGCGAAGGCAGCUCGCUGGAACGUUACUGACGCUGAGACGCGAAAGCGUGGGGAGCAAACAGG
rnacentral:rRNA from 1 species